AUUGAACGCUGGCGGCAGGCCUAACACAUGCAAGUCGAACGAGUGGCGGACGGGUGAGUAAUGUCUGGGAAACUGCCUGAUGGAGGGGGCUAACUACUGGAAACGGUAGCUAAUCCCGCAUACCUUCAACUUUUCCCAGAUGGGAUUAGCUGGUUGGUGGGUUAACGGCUCACCAAGGCGACGAUCCCUAGCUGGUCUGAGAGGAUGACCGGCCACAUUGGAACUGAGAAACGGCCCAUACUCCGACGGGAGGCAGCAGUGGGGAAUAUUGCACAAUGGGAGCAAGCCUGAUGCAGCAAUGCCGCGUGUAUGAAGAAGGCCUUCGGGUUGUAAAGUACUUUCAGCGGGGAGGCGGUAACAGAAGAGGAAGCACCGGCUAACUCCGUGCCAGCAGCCGCGGUAAUUG
rnacentral:rRNA from 1 species